rnacentral:ncRNA from 3 species
AAACAAACAUGGUGCACUUCUUU